UCAAAUCAGGUACUUUCCUCACUUAUUAAUGGAGGAGGGGAGAGUGCCGGACAAGAUGUUUUCUGAAGUUCCUUACAGCAGUAACAUUCCAUAACAUGGUAACAUUUUUAUGUUGUCAUGACUGACCUUUCAUUACGGUUUCACCCCCACCCUCAACAAGUGACGUUCAUUGGCUUACCGUCAGAUCCAACAUCCCCAUGUCUACAGAUCUCACAGCCACCAUAGGCACAAGGACAAAGGAACAGCUCUCGGAGGAGUGGCUCUAACUUGGGAGUAGUUGAGUCCCACAUCAGCCACCCAUGGCCAGAAAUACGGGAGGAAACGUGUGGCUACAGCAGAGGACAGGUGUCUCUGUACAGCUCUCCUGUUCCCCAGAGAUGCCUUGCCAUUCCAUCUCAAAUGGCUCUUACACUUUUUGGAAAGCUCUACAGACAGUCAAGACAGCACACAGCAG
rnacentral:lncRNA from 1 species